rnacentral:rRNA from 1 species
UACGUAGGGUGCGAGCGUUAAUCGGAAUUACUGGGCGUAAAGCGUGCGCAGGCGGUCUGUUAAGACCGAUGUGAAAUCCCCGGGCUUAACCUGGGACUGCGUUUGAAACUACAAGGCUAGAGUGUGACAGAGGGGGGUGGAAUUCCACGUGUAGCAGUGAAAUGCGUAGAGAUGUGGAGGAACACCGAUGGCGAAGGCAGCCCCCUGGGUUAACACUGACGCUCAGGCACGGAAAGCGUGGGGAGCAAACAGG